AGAAUGUUAGAAGCACCUUGCAAAGAUGUGAGGAGAAGGAGAAUUUUGGGAAUCCAGUGGCUUUUCCUACUGAGCUGAAGUGGAGGAUCUGGGACUUCUGUGAUCUCAACUCCUUUCUAGAAGGUGUUAUGAAGCAAUUCAAAGACCUUCUGGAAUCUGGACUUCAGCAGCAAGAAGGUAAAUUUCAGGGACUGAUGGAAGAUGAAAUUAAUAGGAGGGUA